rnacentral:rRNA from 1 species
AGAGCGAACGCUGGCGGCAGGCCUAACACAUGCAAGUCGAGCGCCCGUAGCAAUACGGGAGCGGCAGACGGGAUAGUAACACGUGGGAACGCGCCCUUCGGUUCGGAAUAACUCAGGGAAACUUGAGCUAAUACCGGAUACGCCCUUACGGGGAAAGAUUUAUUGCCGAAGGAACGGCCCGCGUCCGAUUAGCUAGUUGGUGAGGUAAUGGCUCACCAAGGCGACGAUCGGUAGCUGGUCUGAGAGGAUGACCAGCAUCACUGGGACUGAGACACGGCCCAGACUCCUACGGGAGGCAGCAGUGGGGAAUAUGGACAAUGGGCGCAAGCCUGAUCCAGCCAUGCCGCGUGGAUGAUGAAGGCCUUAGGGUUGUAAAGUCCGUUUAACGGGGAAGAUAAUGACGGUACCGUAGAAUAAGCCCGGCUAACUUCGCGCCAGCAGCCGC